rnacentral:rRNA from 1 species
UACGUAGGGUGCGAGCGUUAAUCGGAAUUACUGGGCGUAAAGAGUGCGUAGGCGGAUUUAUAAGUUAGAUGUGAAAUACCUGGGCUUAACCUGGGAGGUGCAUUUAAGACUGUAAGUCUAGAGUUUGUCAGAGGGGGGUAGAAUUCCAAGUGUAGCAGUGAAAUGCGUAGAGAUUUGGAGGAAUACCGAUGGCGUAGGCAGCCCCCUGGGAUAAGACUGACGCUGAGGCACGAAAGCGUGGGUAGCAAACAGG